GAACAGUUCGUGGGGCAGGAAAGGACGGUUCUGCCCUCCAUGGAGAUGUUUUUUGUUCCGCGGUGUAUCGAUCUGAUGUUCCGCUCUCUUCUAGAGCCGUCUACUCUAAUCUCUCACACGCGAGUCAAAAUCCACCUCAAUGCCCUAAAAUCAGUACAAAAAGAGCUACUCAAAGAGUCGCAGAACAUAGUGGAGAGUCAAAAUCCACCUCACAAAGAACUGUGUUGACGACCAUAACUUCCAAAACAGAGCCGACCCAGAAGUUAGUUUUCUCAUACGAGCACAAAGCCACCAUCUUUGCUGCAGAUCCAAGCUCAGAACCAAGUUUUGGCCUUGAAGAGGAUUAUAAAUACUGGACGAGAUCAAUCAGGGAAUUUUUGACAGAUCAGGUCGCAUAUAUGUGAUUGACACAAAAACAGAUCCAGAAGCUCCCUCUCUGCAUAAAGUUGUUGACCCUGAAGACAUCGUACAGAAGAUUGGAUUGGCAUACCCACACACAUCUCACUGCCUUGCAUCUGGUGAUUUCUUCUCCUUGACUCAAAGUUUAAUGUCAAGGGAAGGUUUCUCAAGCUAUAUUAAGUUCUUUUUUGAAUCAGUUUGUGGAGAGGUUUAUCGUCUGGGAGACUGUCACCUCUUUUAUCGAAAAUGUCCAAGAUAACUGUAUUUCUUUGUCAAGUCAUUGUAUCUGAUGAAAUCUGGCUUGGCCUUGACACCUGCUACCACAGUUUGGAAUGAGAUCCAGAAGUCAUCACUGUCAUCUGUUUGACUUGGAGAAUGGUAGUAUGAGCAACAUUGGCUAUUCUCAAUUGUUCCAUACCCCCAUCAAAUUGGCCUACUAAUUGAUGUCCACCUGUAUCCUUUGAAUCCAUUAGAUAUGUCAAAAUGCAUAGUUAAGGAACAAUCGGCAGGAACAAUAUUUUGGGGCUUUGAAGAAGUAACCCUAUUACAGGGAGGAGAUAACCCUUUGAUUUGUGUAUAACGUGGCUCAACUCCUUUAUGCUGGUUUUAGAAUUUAGCUUUUUCAAGUAAAGCCAGCUUAUGUGGUUAGUUAAUUCUCUGAGCACAGUCUCUUAAACAUAAAGCACACUAAUGCUUACAAUUUGGUGAUGAGAGCUUGACAACAUAACAGAUUGUUGUAGCAAGUGAACAUGACUCUAAGAGGUCAUAUACAUGGUUGUAUACAGCACCCCGGAAUUGUGUUGAUCAAUCUAGCUAGAAGGAUUCCCUUUUUGAAGCAUCUUUCUCCUACUUUGCUUUUGGACCCUGCUUUUGUAGACAUGUAAUGUAUCUAAUAAUUGUAAAUGCAAUAUUUCUUACCUAAAUCAUAUUGACAAUAUACAAACAUCUUCUUCACCUCAA